ACUAUGGUUAAGGAACUCGGCAAAUUUCCUCCGUAACUUCGGGAUAAGGAGGACCCCAGUAGCGUGACGAGACUUGCUCUCCGAGCGUGAAGGGGUGGCACAAAAUUGAGGGAAGCGACUGUUUACCAAAAACACAGCAGCGUGCUAAGCCGUAAGGCGCUGUAUACGCUGUGACUCCUGCCCGGUGCUGGAAGGUUACGGGGAUGGGUUAGUCCUUUGGGACGAAGCUCUGAACCUAAGCCCCAGUAACCGGCGGCCGUAACUAUAACGGUCCUAAGGUAGCGAAAUUCCUUGUCGGGUAAGUUCCGACCUGCACGAAUGGAGUAACGACUUCCCUACUGUCUCAACCAUAGACCCAGCGAAAUUGAAGUACGAGUAAAGAUGCUCGUUAGCUGCAGAAGGACGGAAAGACCCCGUGGACCUUUACUAUAACUUGAUGUUGUGUUUUGUCAUAUGUUGUGUAGGAUAGGUGGGAGACAAGGAAGCAUGGACGCUAGUCUGUGUGGAGUCAUCGUUGAAAUACCACCCUGCAUAUGGUGAGGCUCUAACCUAGACCCGUUAUCCGGGUUGGGGACAGCGUCAGGCGGGUAGUUUAACUGGGGCGGUUGCCUCCUAAAGAGUAACGGAGGCGCCCAAAGGUUCCCUCAGCCUGGUUGGCAAUCAGGCGUCGAGUGCAAUGGCAAAAGGGAGCUUGACUGCGAGACCUACAAGUCGAGCAGGAGCGAAAGCUGGGCAUAGUGAUCCGGCGGUUGCGUGUGGAAGCGCCGUCGCUCAAUGGAUAAAAGGUACCCCGGGGAUAACAGGCUAAUCUUGCCCAAGCGUCCAUAGCGACGGCAAGGUUUGGCACCUCGAUGUCGGCUCAUCGCAUCCUGGGGCUGAAGCAGGUCCCAAGGGUAGGGCUGUUCGCCCAUUAAAGCGGUACGCGAGCUGGGUUCAGAACGUCGUGAGACAGUUCGGUCCCUAUCCUCUGUAGCCGUAGGUGAAUUGAGAAAAGCUGUCCCUAGUACGAGAGGACCGGGACGGACGCAGCUCUCGUGUGCCAGUUGUCCUGCCAAGGGCAUGGCUGGUUAGCGACCUGCGGAAAGGAUAACCGCUGAAAGCAUCUAAGCGGGAAGCCUCUUCCAAGAUGAAUUCACCCACAGGGUUAACCUGGUAAGGCCCGUGGUAGACCACCACGUUGAUAGGCCGGAAGUGUAAGCGUGGCAACACGUUCAGCUGACCGGUACUAAUCGG
rnacentral:rRNA from 1 species